AUUGAACGCUGGCGGCAUGCCUUACACAUGCAAGUCGAACGGUAACAGGUUAAGCUGACGAGUGGCGAACGGGUGAGUAAUAUAUCGGAACGUGCCCAGUCGUGGGGGAUAACGUAGCGAAAGCUACGCUAAUACCGCAUACGAUCUACGGAUGAAAGCGGGGGAUCGCAAGACCUCGCGCGAUUGGAGCGGCCGAUAUCAGAUUAGGUUGUUGGUGAGGUAAAAGCUCACCAAGCCUGCGAUCUGUAGCUGGUCUGAGAGGACGAGCAGCCACACUGGUACUGAGACAGGGUCCAGACUCCUACGGGAGGCAGAAGUGGGGAAUUUUGGAAAAUGGACGCAAGUCUGAUCCAGCAAUGCCGCGUGCAGUACGUAGGACUUCGGGUUGUAAACUGCUUUUGUACGGAACGAAAAGGUGAGCUCUAAUACAGUUUGCUAAUGACGGUACCGUAAGAAUAAGCACCGGCUAACUACGUGCCAGCCGCCGCCGUAA
rnacentral:rRNA from 1 species